rnacentral:misc_RNA from 1 species
GAUGAAGAACGCAGCGAAAUGCGAUAAGUAAUGUGAAUUGCAGAAUUCAGUGAAUCAUCGAAUCUUUGAACGCACCUUGCGCCCUUUGGCUAUUCCGAAGGGCAUGCCUGUUUGAGUAUCAUGAACACCUCAACUCUCAUGGCUUGCUGUGAUGAGCUUGGAAUUUGGGGGUCUUGUUGGCUUGUGAGCCAGCUCCUCCUAAAUGAAUUAGCUUGCCGGUGUUUGGUGGCAUCACAGGUGUGAUAACUAUCUACUCUUGUGGUUUCCCAUCAGGUAACCUCCAGUGAUGGAGGUUCGCUGGGGCUCAUAAAUGUCUCUCCUCAGUGAGGACAGAUUUUGACUGUUUGAUCUCAAAUCAGGUAGGACUACCCGCUGAACUUAAGCAUAUCAAUAAGCGGA